AAGCAUUUAUGAUGGCUCAUUAUUAUAUAAUAGUGGGUGAGUUAUUGUGUGUAAUGUACUAGAUUUUUAAUAUAAAAAUAGUGUAAAUAAAAAUAGUGUAAGAUAUUAUUUUUAUUAGACUUAAAAAAAUAAAAUAUAAGUCGGAAAUGACUUGUACUGAAAUUGGAAUAGAAACAGAAAAUUUAAAAUUUUCUAUAAGGAACGGGACUGAUCUUUUAGCAGAAAAUUUAAAGUGUCAGAAAAUUAUGAAAAUUUAGGAAUAUGUCGGAAUUAUUUUUCUGAUGCUAGAUUUAAAGUUUUAUGUAUUUCCGACACCCGGAAAGUGAAAAACAAAAUCUGAUUGCUAUCUGUUAGUGAUUUUAGUCGGUAAACUUUUCGAUGACAAAAAAUGGUUCAAAACUGAAAAGUUAAGAUUUCGUUCUUCUUAUUGAUUUUAACCGAGCCUGACUGUCAAAUUUGAGAUCAAACGGACAUUCAGAAGAGCUCUGGCGAAAAGUAUCAGAUUUUGAACUUGACUAAAUUAUAAGUUGCAAUUAUUGGGGGGCCUAUAUGUG
rnacentral:lncRNA from 1 species